UUAGACCGUCGUGAGACAG
rnacentral:snRNA from 1 species